CCUCCUUCUCUGCGGGGACGACGACUUCAUCGUCGCCGCGUUGAUAGCUACAAACAAAUCUGGCGUGUACGAUCUCCACCGCUUCGACUCCAGGACUUGGACCUGGAGCCAGGAGGUGGUGCCAUUGGUGGCGCCGCAGGCUGCGUUCCCCUUCAAGAUCACCAUGAACUCAAUCCGGCUUGGUUACCAUCUCACGUCCACCGUAAUCACCAUCGGAGGCGAAGGUGGCACGAUGGGCUGGGUCGAUCUCUGGCGUGGCAUCCUGAUCUGCGACGUGCUCCACCGGAAGCCCGAGCUCCGUGGUGUGCCCCUGCCGGUGCCGAUGGACCUGCUGACAUGCAACAAUGGUCGGGGGGCUGACAUAGGAGGCUGCGGAAAAUCCCUCCGCGGGAUUGCCGUCAUCAAUCAAAGCCUCAGGUUUGUUCAUUUGGAAGCCAUCGUCUCCACCACCUUCAAGACUCUGCCUACCGAUAGCGACAGCGAUGAAGAAACAGCCGUUCCUCACUCACUCAUGUCUGACUGGGUGAUCACGACAUGGAGCAACUCCAAGAUGAGUACCUCGUGGGAUGACUGGAUCAAGGACUGCGAGGCCAAAGCAUCGCACACCACGAUCCAGAGCAAGCCCAAGUCAAAGAUGCUCAACUCUGGAUUGCUGUCACCUGAAGGAGCAAAUCAAGUGCGAGCCUUGCAGAACCUCUGGGUGUCCCACCCAGCUCCUGGCAUCAAUGAUGAUGUCGUUUACUUGCUUGCCAGAGUCAGAUUCCGGGACCCGAAGGCAUUCGUUAUCGCUCUUGAUGCGAGGAAGAAUGUUCUGCUAGGCUCAGCUGAGUUUGCCA
rnacentral:lncRNA from 1 species